GUAUCGAUUCACAUAAAGAAAGAGGAUCCAAACGCCUUAUCCUUCUUGCAACGAUCGGACCAAUCUGCCUCCUGCUGGUGCUUGCAUUGCUGGUGUUUGCUUGCUGGAGAAAAAGACAGAAGAAGCCGACAAAUGCUGAGACUGAUGACACAUAUACUGAUCUGAGGUUGUCAGGUAUUACAAGUAUAUAUGAUCAGCUGAAGCCCGAGAUCCCUGCAGACAACAAUGUUCUAGGACCUGAUGUGGGUGCAGCUCAUGAAUAUGAAAACUGAAUACAUUUUCAAAAUAAGAACAAA